AGCAGCCGCGGUAAUUCCAGCUCCAAUAGCGUAUAUUAAAGUUGUUGCAGUUAAAAAGCUCGUAGUUGAAUUUCGGGAUUGGCGCAUCGGUCGUGCCUUACGGGGUAUGAACUGGUGGAGUCAAUUUCUCACCUUCUGGAGAACCGCGAUGUCCUUAAUUGGGUGCCGCGGGGAACCAGGACCUUUACUUUGAAAAAAUUAGAGUGUUUAAAGCAGGCAUUUUUGCUUGAAUACAUUAGCAUGGAAUAAUAAAAUAGGACGGCAUGGUUCUAUUUUGUUGGUUUCUAGGACCACCGUAAUGAUUAAUAGGGAUAGUUGGGGGCAUUAGUAUUCAAUUGUCAGAGGUGAAAUUCUUGGAUUUAUUGAAGACUAACUACUGCGAAAGCAUUUGCCAAGGAUGUUUUCAUUAAUCAAGAACGAAAGUUAGGGGAUCGAAGACGAUCAGAUACCGUCGUAGUCUUAACCAUAAACUAUGCCGACUAGGGAUCGGAUGAUGUUAAUUUUUUAAUGACUCAUUCGG
rnacentral:rRNA from 1 species